rnacentral:rRNA from 1 species
AGGGACCUUAAUCGAUUUAUGAGAGUUGGUUGUAGCUGGUCCAUUAAUUUGGGCAAUGUGCACACCUCCUCUUUCAUCCACAUACACCUGUGCACCUGUGAGACAGAUGGGGGAAUUUAUUCAUUUAUUGGACCCCUCUGUCUACUCAAUUCAUAUAAACUCAAUUUAUUUAAAAAUGAAUGUAAUGAUGUAACACAUCUAAUACUAAGUUUCAACAACGGAUCUCUUGGCUCUCGCAUCGAUGAAGAACGCAGCGAAAUGCGAUAAGUAAUGUGAAUUGCAGAAUUCAGUGAAUCAUCGAAUCUUUGAACGCACCUUGCGCUCCUUGGUAUUCCUUGGAGCAUGCCUGUUUGAGUAUCAUGAAAUCUUCAAAGUAAAUCUUUUGUUAAUUCAAUUGGUUCUACUUUGGUAUUGGAAGGUCUUUGGCACCUUCACACCGGCUCCUCUUUGUGCAUUACCUGGAUCUCAUGGUUAUGCUGGGUUCAACUCACCGGGAUAAAUUAUCUAUCGCUAAGGACACUGUAAAAAGUGGCCAAGGUAAAUGCAAAUGAACCGCUUCUAAUAGUCCAUUGACUUGAACAAUAUUAUUAUGAUCUGAUCUCAAAUCAGGUAGGACUACCCGCUGACCUUAAGCAUAUCAUUAAGCGGAGGAUGGCAACUUUUGGAAUUUGAGAAAACCGGUUGUUCCGGCCCUUAAUUUGGAAAGUCAUCCCCUUCCCACUCCGGUCUGGUAACAGAUGGGGGAAUUUUUUCUUUUUGGCCCGUCCCAUUUAAACUUUUUUAAGGAGUAAGUUUUCAUCCAUUUCCCCCCUGGCUC